UGGGCAGGUGGGCGACCCUUGGGGGGCAUGGGCAGGGGCAGCCCGUUCUGCUCCCGAAUGCCCCGGCUUAGUCAGUCUGGGAUGCGGCCCUGGACACCGGGCUUUAUGCAGCUCUGAAGUGAUCCCAGCACACAGCCCGGGUCAAGCUCAGCGCUCGGCAACCAUAGGCACCCAACAACGGGCUGCAGCCAUCAGUAACAACGGCAGCUCCAACGCCCAGAGAACUCACGGAGCAGACACACAUCAGGUGAAGACGCGGAGGCCUGAGCGCUGGGGGUCGCCCGGGGCUGCACAGCGGGUCAGAGGCCAACCCUGGGCGGAGCCAGGCCACACCCUCCCUCAAGGAUUCACAGUCUCCCCAAAGUAACCGCAACGAGGGACCCUCCCGUCACCAAACUUCCUUUCAGUCACUUCCGCUUGUACUAAUUCUGGCCCAACCGUUCAUUAUAUUUUUACAAUUCUUAU
rnacentral:lncRNA from 10 species